UGGUUAACUACUCUCAACACAAGGUCUUUAUAGCCCCUUUUCUUUGUAAAAUAUCAUUAGCUACUUACUUCUGAUGGCAUACGUAGCUGUCAAAUUGUUCAAAUGGAUGUGGAGGAAACCAAAGACCGUUGACUGCAAAAAAUUGAUGGAACGACAAUCACUCCUAGAGCCUUUUAGUGCAAUCCUUUUUUACACUAAUUAAAAUAAAAAGAUAUUAUCAAGCGAAACUAAUUUCUUUGGCAGUUUUAAAAAUUUAUAAUUAAAUGCCUAUUGAACAAA